rnacentral:misc_RNA from 1 species
AAGUCGUAACAAGGUUUCCGUAGGUGAACCUGCGGAAGGAUCAUUACAGAGUUCAUGCCCGAAAGGUAGACCUCCCACCCUUGUGUAUUAUUACUUUGUUGCUUUGGCGAGCUGCUCUUCGGGGCCUUGUAUGCUCGCCAGAGAAUAUCAAAACUCUUUUUAUUAAUGUCGUCUGAGUACUAUAUAAUAGUUAAAACUUUCAACAACGGAUCUCUUGGUUCUG